rnacentral:tRNA from 2 species
AUGUCCUUAGUUUAAUUGGUUAGAAUAUCAGACUCCAAAUCUGAGAGAUGUGGGUUCGACUCCUACAGGGCGUG